UAGCAGAGGGGGCAAGCGUUAUUCGGAAUUAUUGGGCGUAAAGGGCGCGUAGGCGGCGAUUCAAGUGACGGGUGAAAUCCCUCGGCUUAACCGAGGAACUGCCUGUCAGACUGGGUUGCUUGAGACCGGGAGAGGCGAGUGGAAUUCCCAGUGUAGCGGUGAAAUGCGUAGAUAUUGGGAGGAACACCAGUGGCGAAGGCGGCUCGCUGGACCGGAACUGACGCUGAGGCGCGAAAGCGUGGGGAGCAAACAGG
rnacentral:rRNA from 1 species